rnacentral:lncRNA from 1 species
UGUUGCCCAGGCUGGAGUGCAGUGGCGUCAUCACAGUAGCCUCAAACUCCCAGACCCAAAGGAUCCUCUCACCUCAGCCUCCCAAGUAGCUGGGACUACAGGGUCUUGCUUUGUUGCCCAGGCUGCUCUCAAACUCUUGGAUUCAAGAGAUCCUCUUACCUCAGCUUCCCGAGUAGCUGGGAUCACAGGAACCUGCCACCACACCCAGCCAAUGGUAACAUUUUGCAAAACUGUAGUAUAAUAUCAAGACCGGAAUA